GUUUUGCAUAACAUUCGCUUUCACGCAGCGCAAGAUGUAAGUAGCCGAAAGGUGAAACUAGGAAAUGUU
rnacentral:ribozyme from 1 species